UCCCUGGAGGACUAGUGAUUAGGCCUUAGCGCUCUCACCUCUGCAGCCCGGGUUCAAUUCUCAGCCAGGGAA
rnacentral:tRNA from 1 species